AGCAGCCGCGGUAAUUCCAGCUCCAAUAGCGUAUAUUAAAGUUGUUGCAGUUAAAAAGCUCGUAGUUGAAUUUCGGGGUCAGCAGGUUGGUCGUGCCAAUGGUAUGCACUGGCCUUGCUGAUUCCUCCCUCUUGAUGAGCCGUAAUGCCAUUAAUUUGGUGUUGCGGGGAAUCAGGACUGUUACUUUGAAAAAUUAGAGUGUUUAAAGCAGGCAAGCGCUUGAAUACAUUAGCAUGGAAUAAUGAAAUAGGACGUUCGAUCCUAUUUUGUUGGUUUCUAGGAUUGACGUAAUGAUUAAUAGGGAUAGUUGGGGCAUUAGUAUUCAAUUGUCAGAGGUGAAAUUCUUGGAUUUAUUGAAGACUAACUACUGCGAAAGCAUUUGCCAAGGAUAGUUUUCAUUAAUCAAGAACGAAAGUUAGGGGAUCGAAGACGAUCAGAUACCGUCGUAGU
rnacentral:rRNA from 1 species